rnacentral:rRNA from 1 species
ACAUAGGCCCCGAGCGUUAUCCGGAAUUACUGGGCGUAAAGAGUUCGUAGGCGGAGGGACAAGUCAGGCGUGAAAGGUACGGGCUCAACCCGUUUCCUGCGCCCGAAACUGUCCCCCUGGAAUUGGGGAGGGGUAAGCAGAAUUGUAAGAGUAGGGGUGCAAUCCGUUGAUACUUACAGGAAUACCGAAAGCGAAGGCAGCUUACUGGAACCAUAUUGACGCUGAGGAACGAAAGCGUGGGGAGCGAAAAGGA